rnacentral:rRNA from 1 species
UGGGCAAUGGGCGCAAGCCUGACCCAGCAACGCCGCGUGAGGGAAGAAGGUUUUCGGAUUGUAAACCUCUGUCCUUGGGGACGAAAAAACUGACGGUACCUUACCAGAAAGCCCCGGCUAACUACGUGCCAGCAGCCGCGGUAAUACGUAGGGGGCGAGAAUUGUCCGGAAUUACUGGGCGUAAAGGGUGCGUAGGCGGUUGGCUAAGUCUGAGGUGAAAUCCCCGCGCUUAACCCGGGGGUUGCGUUUAAUGUUGGGUGGCUAGCCGGCAGGAGAGUGAAAUGGAAUUCCUAGUGUAGCGGUGAAAUGCGUAGAUAGCAGGAGGAACGCCUGUGGCGAAGGCGGCUUUCUGGACUGUAACUGACACUGAGGCAUUAAAGCGUCUGGACCUAACAGGAUUAGAUACCCUGGUAGUCCACGCGGUAAACGAUGGAUACUAGGUGUAGGGGGUAUCAAAGCCUUCGGUGCCGCAGCUAAAGCAAUAAGUGU